AAGCCCUUCGGGGUGACGGUAGUGGGAUAAGAAGCACCGGCUAACUACGUGCCAGCAGCCGCGGUAAUACGUAGGGUGCGAGCGUUGUCCGGAAUUACUGGGCGUAAAGAGCUCGUAGGUGGUUUGUCGCGUCGUCUGUGAAAGUCCAGCGCUUAACGCUGGGAUUGCAGGCGAUACGGGCUUACUUGAGUGCUGUAGGGGAGACUGGAA
rnacentral:rRNA from 1 species